rnacentral:rRNA from 1 species
AUUCCAGCUCCAAUAGCGUAUAUUAAAGUUGUUGCGGUUAAAAAGCUCGUAGUUGGAUUUCUGCUGAGGACGACUGGUCCGCCCCCUGGGUGAGCAUCUGGUUCGGCCUGGGCAUCUUCUUGGGGAACGUAUCUGCACUUGAUUGUGUGGUGCGGUAUCCAGGACUUUUACUUUGAGGAAAUUAGAGUGUUUCAAGCAGGCCCGCGCCUUGAAUACAUUAGCAUGGAAUAAUAAGAUAGGACCUCGGUUCUAUUUUGUUGGUUUCUAGAGCUGAGGUAAUGAUUAAUAGGGAUAGUUGGGGGCAUUCGUAUUUAACUGUCAGAGGUGAAAUUCUUGGAUUUGUUGCCAAGGAUGUUUUCAUUG